GGAAGAGUUUGCUAAUGAAUUUGCAGGAUGGGCUUUCCCUGAUAGUUCAAGGGAAUUGAAGAUGAUAGAAUUCGAGCAGUUGAGGCAAACUGAUGACAUGAGUGUAGACGAAUAUACUGACAGGUUUAUGGAGUUGCUGCCAUUUGCUGGGCAGGACCUUAGCACAGACCAGAAGAAGUCGAGGAGGUAUAUCAUGAAGCUCCAUCCCAGGUAUUCCUCCUUGGUACAGUCAGCAGAUAGAGAGAGUUUUCAUGCCAUAGUAGACAUGGCUAGGAGAAUGGAGGCUAGUGCCAUCGUUCAGGGGACAGUUAAGCAGACAGUGGCACAAGCUUCUGGUUCCAAAAC
rnacentral:lncRNA from 1 species